rnacentral:rRNA from 1 species
GCAAGGUUGAAACUCAAAGGAAUUGACGGGGACCCGCACAAGCGGUGGAUGAUGUGGUUUAAUUCGAUGCAACGCGAAAAACCUUACCUACCCUUGACAUGCUAGGAAUUCUGCAGAGAUGUGGAAGUGCUCGAAAGAGAACCUAGACACAGGUGCUGCAUGGCCGUCGUCAGCUCGUGUCGUGAGAUGUUGGGUUAAGUCCCGCAACGAGCGCAACCCUUGUCAUUAGUUGCUACGAAAGGGCACUCUAAUGAGACUGCCGGUGACAAACCGGAGGAAGGUGGGGAUGACGUCAGGUCCUCAUGGCCCUUAUGGGUAGGGCUACACACGUCAUACAAUGGCCGGGACAGAGGGCUGCCAACCCGCGAGGGGGAGCCAAUCCCAGAAACCCGGUCGUAGUCCGGAUCGCAGUCUGCAACUCGACUGCGUGAAGUCGGAAUCGCUAGUAAUCGCGGAUCAGCUUGCCGCGGUGAAUACGUUCCCGGGUCUUGUACACACCGCCCGUCACACCAUGGGAGCGGGUUCUGCCAGAAGUAGUUAGCCUAACCGCAAGGAGGGCGAUUACCACGGCAGGGUUCGUGACUGGGGUGAAGUCGUAACAAGGUAGCCGUAAAGGG